rnacentral:rRNA from 1 species
CCUACGGGGGGCUGCAGUAAGGAAUAUUGGUCAAUGGACGAAAGUCUGAACCAGCCAUGCCGCGUGAAGGAUGAAGGUCCUCUGGAUUGUAAACUUCUUUUAUCUGGGACGAAAAAAGGGAAUUCUUUCCCACUUGACGGUACCAGAGGAAUAAGCACCGGCUAACUCCGUGCCAGCAGCCGCGGUAAUACGGAGGGUGCAAGCGUUAUCCGGAUUCACUGGGUUUAAAGGGUGCGUAGGUGGGCAGUUAAGUCAGUGGUGAAAUCUCCGGGCUUAACCCGGAAACUGCCAUUGAUACUAUCUGUCUUGAAUACUCUGGAGGUAAGCGGAAUAUGUCAUGUAGCGGUGAAAUGCUUAGAUAUGACAUAGAACACCAAUUGCGAAGGCAGCUUACUACGGAGUCAUUGACACUGAGGCACGAAAGCGUGGGGAUCAAACAGGAUUAGAUACCCCGGUAGUC